CCUACGGGUGGCAGCAGUGAGGAAUAUUGGUCAAUGGGCGGAAGCCUGAACCAGCCAAGUAGCGUGCGGGAUGAAGGCCCUACGGGUCGUAAACCGCUUUUGCACGGGGAUAACACCCUCCACUUGUGGAUGUCUGCAGGUACCGUGCGAAUAAGGGUCGGCUAAUUCCGUGCCAGCAGCCGCGGUAAUACGGAAAGCCCGAGCGUUAUCCGGAUUCAUUGGGCUUAAAGGGAGCGUAGGCGGGCGUUCAAGUCAGCUGUAAAAUCGUUCGGCUCAGCCGUGCCUCGCAGUUGAAACUGGAAGCCUUGAGUUCACAACAGGCAGGCGGAAUUCGUGGUGUAGCGGUGAAAUGCAUAGAUAUCACGAAGAACCCCGAUUGCGAAGGCAGCCUGCCGGGGUGCGACUGACGCUGAUGCUCGAAGGUGCGGGUAUCAAACAGGAUUAGAUACCCGAGUAGUC
rnacentral:rRNA from 1 species